GGAUUUUGUCUUCUUGCUCGUCGACACCAUUGCAGGUUUCUCUUCAGAUUUCUCAAUCUCUUUUCAGCUCCUUAUUCCUACGAUUUCCUAACGAAAAUGUUGAAAAGUGGAUGUUAUAACAAAUAGAAAAUGAACAACACUUCUGCAGGGCCAUUCUCAAAAGCAGUAAGAGUAGGAGCAUCACAACCUUUAGAAAGUUCACUAAAAAGGAAACCGGGAUGUUUCAGAAAUACCAUCAGUGACUAUAUAUAGAUGUGAUAAUAAUAUUAAAUCACUUCACUGUGUUUAAUUUUUUAACAUUUCUUUUAUUUAUUACACAGUGCAACGCAUGAUGUAUGGUUUUGGAGAUGUUAUCAAUAAACUGUGGAACUUGUGGAAGACAUUGUGGUGGAUUAUGUCACUAAUAUGCUUUCAACUUGCGUAGGCGCACAAAGCUCAGGAUAGUGCAACCAAAAGAGGGAAGCUUUUGACAGAGGACUUUGUGUUCUUAAUUAGAAAGGAUUCAGUGAAACUUAACCUGUGUAGAGAACUGUUGACCAUGCAUGAGGAUCUGAAAGAAGCUCGAAAGGCUUUCGAGUCGAUCAAGAGGAAUUGGCACACAUGAGUGAGGGGGAAGUGUGAAGUUAUGAUGUUACUUGAGAAUGCCAAAUUGAGUGGGCACCAUAGGACAAGUAUACAAUUUACAGAGCAGGCCAAUCGUUCUCGAGUCCAAGCUCCAAUCCUAAUUGUUGCCUUCAACCCAACGAUGUCCUUCAGGGAUCACUACUGCAUCAUAACGAGGGGUACUUACCAAAUCACCUGGUAAGGCCGUUAUUCUCUCUAUAUUUUUCUCUUUAUGAUUAGUUGGAGAGCUGAAAUGUAUGUCAACUUAUAAUAUGGAUUGAUAUACUAAAGUAACAUCUUCAAAGGCCACCAAGAACAUAACAUUCAAAGAAGAGCAACACGCGAAAACUCUUAAAGUAUCACAAAGUAUAGUUUUAAAUGCACUUCACUAGUUCAAGAAUGAAGAAUGAGUAUUUCACCAUUAGCGUAAUGAAAAUAACAGACAUUUUGAUCUUACUUUAGAUUUUCUCUUUACAAGAAGUUCUACAUAAACUCAAUAUAUAUAUGUACUUCUUUCCAUGAAUAAUGACUUGCUUUAAUAACUUUUUAUAUGAAUGCAAGAGCAUAAACUCAAUUCUAGGAGCUUUUUAGUAGUAGGUGAGCUAUUGGAAAUCUAUGAAAGUCACAGGAGCUAUAUCAUCAAAAAUAAGAGCAGCUACCUGAAGACAACCACAUUGCCGAAGGAGAAGUUGUAUUUUUUGUAGACAAAGUUUCUCCACUUUAACAAAGUACCCUGCAUCACAACAACUGAUUUAGAGUUUUGUUGUUGUUUGCAGCAGGAAAUAUUAAAAACUUAAAGAGAGGAAAUUAAAAUAAGUAGUUAUGAGUCAAGGAUCUCACUGUCAUCAUAUGGAUUAAAUGUGGGAGAUAUUGAAAUGCCACCAACAUGAACAAUACUAGCAUAACAAUCAGUGCUGUCAGGUGAAACAACUCUUGGUUAAACUCCAGACGAAGUUCACAGUUGCCAUAUUUGUGUCACCUAAAUCAUUUACACACACUGUUCAAAAACCAAGAAGAAAGUUAAAAAAAAAGAUCUAUAAAUAAUGUCUUUCCAAAGUAAAAGCAAGUAAACCUCUAGAGAGUAAAUAGCCAAAACAUUCCUCAUUUAUACCUCAAACUUAAACUAUAUCCUUAUAUUUUAUACUACAUAAUGAACACAAAACAUCCCUAAACUAUCAUCAAAACUUGCUACUUACAUCACUAUGUUAGAAUCUGUCAAGAAGCUAACGCCCUCAACCAAAAACAGCUACAUCUGUUCUUCACAUCAGCCAUGGACCAAUGCACGCGUUAAAUUCAAUAGGUCGUACAAAUUAUGUUUCUUGAUCGACAAUGUUAUGAUCGGCAAAAAUAUGUAUAAUGGAUCAAAUCGUGUUGUAUAAGAGGGAAUUGAUCUAAUAGUAAUGUCAUUGAAAUAGAUGUGAUUUUUUGUUGUUGAUGAGGAAGCCCGUAGUCACCAUGUUUCAGAGUUCAGGUGAGUAUAGGAUAACCCCCGCUUCAAUAUAAUAGGCCGCAAAACCACAAUGAAGAGGUAAGCUACACUAAUCAAGUCUCAUAUGACGAGCUUGGCCGAGCAAAUAUGUAGGGGACUUUGAACUUAUGAUCCCCAUUUCGGUUCAUCUGUCCAACCAGCUCAACCACUCUUGCGGAUAUCAUUGAAAAGAUAGAAUUAUCUCAAAAUUUUGAACAUCGAAUCACCAAUCAUCAUACUUGCACUUGCUUGAUGCUUCAUGGCUCAUGUAUAACAUGUAUCAUUAUUAAUUUUAAUGCAAGCCUAUAUUGCUUCUAAUAUAUGCAUCCUUUGCAACACCCAGAGAAAAUAUAUGCUCAAUAAUUACCAAUUUUCUAUUGAUCAAGUAACAAAUUUCUGUAACCUGUUGAAUUUGGUGCAACACAUGCACUGAUCAAUGGCUAAGGUGAAGAACCAAUGUAGCAAUUUUUUAUUGAAGCUGUUCGUUUCUGGGAAGAAUCCGACAAAGGGAUGUAAGUUAAAUUCUUUUUGGAUAGUUUAGGGAUGAUUUUUGUUCAUUAUAUAGUACAAUGAUGUAAUUUAAGUUUGAGCUCUAAUAAAGAGAUGUUUUUGGCCAUUGUUUAUGAA